rnacentral:rRNA from 1 species
AUUGAACGCUGGCGGCAUGCCUUACACAUGCAAGUCGAACGGUAACAGGCCGCAAGGUGCUGACGAGUGGCGAACGGGUGAGUAAUGCAUCGGAACGUGCCCAGUCGUGGGGGAUAACUGCUCGAAAGAGCAGCUAAUACCGCAUACGACCUGAGGGUGAAAGCGGGGGACCGUAAGGCCUCGCGCGACUGGAGCGGCCGAUGUCAGAUUAGGUAGUUGGUGGGGUAAAGGCCUACGAAGCCGACGAUCUGUAGUUGGUCUGAGAGGACGACCAGCCACACUGGGACUGAGACACGGCCCAGACUCCUACGGGAGGCAGCAGUGGGGAAUUUUGGACAAUGGGGGCAACCCUGAUCCAGCAAUGCCGCGUGCAGGUAGAAGGCCUUCGGGUUGUAAACUGCUUUUGUCAGGGAAGAAAUCCUGUGGGUUAAUACCUCGUGGGGACGACGGUACCCGAAGAAUAAGCACCGGCUAACUACGUGCCAGCAGCCGCCGUAAAAC